AUAUUUUUCUCUUAAAAUAAUAAAUUUGAUAAUCCAAAAUGAUGCAAUACAAUUGCUACACAAAAGACCAUCUCUUUAUUCACAAACUUCAAUAUCAGCUUCUUGAAUUCGCUUGUAAAAUAAUAGUUUUUAGUUCUAGAGCGAUUCUACUUAUACAUUUUAUAUUAUAAAUAUAAAUCUUAUACCGUAAAAUCUUUGUGGUUUGUGUUUUUUUAAUGGGUAAACUUCAAAUACCACUUUUGUAGUUUCACACUUUCUCAUUUUAGUGCCCUACAGUUUAAAGUGUAUCAAGUUAGUGUCCUGUGGUUUUAUUUUUAUCUUUUUGUCAACUUUUUUGUUAAUAUUUCGUUAAAUUAUAUACAAAAAAACUUCAGAUACUCCACAUAGGUUUAUCGAAUAUUCACUUCAGCAUACUUUAGUUUUAACUUUAUCGCUGAUUUAACGAAAAAAAUAGUAAAAUUGAUAAUAGAAAAAUAAAAAUAAAAUCACAGGAUACUGAAUUAAUACACUUUAAAUUAUAGAGUAAUAAAAUGAGAAAAUUUGAAACUACGGGCGGUCUAUCAAAACUUAAGAAAAACU
rnacentral:lncRNA from 1 species